rnacentral:rRNA from 1 species
GAUGAACGCUGGCGGCGUGCCUAAUACAUGCAAGUCGAGCGAACGGACGAGAAGCUUUCUUCUCUGAUGUUAGCGGCGGACGGGUGAGUAACACGUGGAUAACCUCCCUAUAAGACUAGGAUAACUUCGGGAAACGGGUGCUAAUACCGGAUAAUAUUUUGAACCGCAUGGUUCAAAAGAGAAAGACGGUCUUGCUGUCACAUAUAGAUGGAUCCGCGCUUCAUUAGCUAGUUGGUGAGGUAACGGCAUACCAAGGCAACGAGGCAUAGCCGACCUCAGAGGGUGACUGACCACACUGGAGAUGAGACACGGGACGAAGACCUACGGGAAGCAGCAGAAGGGAAUCUGCAGCAAUGGGCGAAAGGCUGACAGAGCAGGGCCGCGUGAGUGGCGAAGGUCUUGCGAUCGUAAAGAUCUGUUAUUAGGGAAGAACAGAUGUGGAAGUAACUGUGCACAGAGUGACGGUACCUAAUCAGAAAGCCACGGCUAACUACGUG